GUCUUGGAAGGAGCAGAAUUCCUCCUCUUAAAGGACUUAAUUGGUGUUGUCUGUUAGGUUAGAGCACUGGGAGAGGUCCUCAAGCAUUUCUUGAUGCUCAGGUGUUACUUCCACUGUGUUCAGAGGAGGUGUAUCUCUAAAAGUAAGAAACAGCAGAGUUAGCAGGAGACCUGUGCGGGCAAAAUCAAAGGGGAGGAGGAGGAAUAGAUGGGGUGAGGAAGGCUAAGGCCCUCUUGGGAAUCACUUUUGGGAAGAGAAGUCAAGGCUAACAGGAGUUCACAAGUUUAGCAACAAUAGAAAUAAGAUCAAGGGGAAAAUAGCAGCGUGCCUGCUUAUGAUGCAGAGGCCCUGUUAACAGAGGACAGGAGAAUGCUGCGGUGUCCAAUGCCUUCUCGGUUUCAGGGGUCACUGCUGAGGCGGCUCCUUCAGAAUCCCGGAUCUGGUGGGGAGGAGUCUUUGAGGAGGGGUGACCCUGUCUCGAUUGCGGAGUAGCUGGUCAAAGAUGAUUUAGAAAAGAUGGCCAACAUCACCACUAUCUCCAAAAAGGGCAGUAAGGCCAAUCAGCCUCACCUCCUUCCCUGGAAAGGUGAGGGAACAGGUUGUUUAAGAUAUCAUCUCUAAGUCAGCGGAAGAGAAGAAACCGUAAAGGAAUGGUCACAGUGGAUUCCACAAGGGGAAAGGCGGCCGGAUCAACUGGGUUUAAGGCCAGUGCAGGGACUCUGACAGCGAGACUCCGGUGCCUCUGUGGAGCAAGGUAAGCCACAUCCUUUUGUUCCAUCCCUGGGGUGAGUCAGGAGUUUCUGGCUGGGUGCCAGAGUACAGGUCCUUUGCGUGUGAUGGUUUGUCUUGGUUUCAUGUUUGGAGCGUGGCAGGUCUGCUUCUGGAGCAGGGGAGGCGAGCAGCGCUACCUGCAGGAGUCUGGGGUCCCGGGGCCAUUGUCUCUGAGGUCCAGCACUUUAGAGCUGUUUCUCUUUCCUCAGGUUCCUGCGCAGCUGGUGUCUGAGGAGUGAGGUCUGCAUCCUUGGUUGCGAGCUGCAGAAGAAGCAGAGGAGGUUCAACAGGUAGGCAUGACUUGUGCGUUGCAGGUGGUUCCUUGGCUGUGGUAGACCUCCUCAUCCCUAUGUCAGUAUGUGGUAUGUACUUCCCCGGGGCUCCUGUAUCUUGGUUUUCUGUUGGAGGCUGGUUGAAGCUGUGGCUUGUGUAGAGACAAGUUGAGGUCUCGAUUGGUUUGAUUUGCUUGCUGUGUCUGCUUGUUCAAUUUUCCUUAGCGGUUGGAUAUUUGUAGUGUGGAGUUGAUGCAAAGGGUUGUUUUCUUUAAUUGGAGUUGGUGUUGUUUGAGCCGAAGGGGAGAAGCACAGGCCCCACAAUCUGUGAAUGUGUGCAGGGCUGCCUGGGUUGUUCUUUUGAGUUGAGUGGUGGGAUAGUUUGUCUCAGGUCCAGUUUGUCUAGGGCCCCAGUCCCCACAGCUUUUUAGCAGGUGUCUCGGUUCCUCCUGUUCUCAUUAGUGGGAACAAGGCGGAUGACAAGGCAGAUGGGGCCACAUCUGCAGCCUUGGUGGUGCUGGGAGUCAGAAGCAAAGCCACAAACUGCUGAAACAAAAGCUUUCUCUGAUUGCAGGCUGUGCAGAGGUUGCAGCGGAGCUUCUUCUGCUUGAACAAGCGAGACGAUGGAAAUGAUGAGUGUUUCUGAGCCCCCUGGUGAGAUUUCUUAGAAAUCGCGUUGGACUGCCGCUCGACAGCCUCCAUUUCUUCGCAAUGAGCUCGGCACCAGUGCCGCUGCUGGGCUCCCACAUGGCUUCUCGGAAGUGCUGAGACUGAGUGUGACCCUGGGACAGCGUGACACUCAGUGCCCCAGGAGGGCUUUUCGGGUGCUUCAGGCCCUCCUGCUUGCGGCAUUGGAGUGUGUAUUUCCUCCCUUCCUUUGUGUAACUUCAGGUGUGUCAUCUCACUUGCAUUGUGGAGACACAGCGGGACAGCUUUCAAAACUGGAAUGCUGUUUUGGAUGGCAGGCUGUAUUUCUCUGAAAAGGAGACCAGCAACUAUGGCAGCAUUUGGUGAGAGAACCGGGAGCGAUGAAGAAUCGCUGGAGUGCUGGGGAGGAAGGUGCAUGUGGUAGGAAGUUCCAGCGAUGCAUCAAGGACAACUUCUGCUGCAGAAGAUGGAGGACCACUGCCAUAGCUCGUCCUCCUUACUGAGGAAAGGCCAGUUGGGGACUGGAGGGCCAUGGGCAGCCAGGAGGGUGGCAGCUGGGUGGCAGAGGAGUUGAGGAUUCACCUUUGCAUACCGAGUGAGUUGGCUGAAGCAAUUUUAAAAUGGUUCUCUAUCCUAUUACUUGUGGUGUUUCCUGUAGGAAAGGAGCCAGAGGACUGCAGGAUAACCAACAUCCCUGAGGAGUUCAGAAAGAAUGAGAAGGACGGCUCACACAACUACAGGGCUAGCAGCCUCACCUCCUUCCCUGGAAAGGUGAGGGAAUGGCUUGUGUGAGAGGUCAUCUGCAAGCAAGAGGAAGUGAAGAGGUUUCUAAGGAACAGUGAUC